rnacentral:rRNA from 1 species
AACGAACGCUGGCGGCGUGCUUAACACAUGCAAGUCGAGCGAGAAAGGGAGCUUCGGCACCUGAGUAAAGCGGCGCACGGGUGAGUAACACGUGGGUAACCUGCCUUUCAGUGGGGGAUAACAGCCCGAAAGGGCUGCUAAUACCGCAUUCGUCCACACGGUCACAUGUCUGUGUGGAGAAAGAGGCGCAAGUCUCGCUGGAAGAUGGGGCCCCGCGGUCCAUUAGCUAGUUGGUGGGGUAAAGGCCUACCAAGGCUUCGAUGGAUAGCUGGUCUGAGAGGAUGAUCAGCCACACUGGAACUGAGACACGGUCCAGACUCCUACGGGAGGCAGCAGUGGGGAAUAUUGGACAAUGGGGGAAACCCUGAUCCAGCAAUGCCGCGUGCGUGAAGAAGGCCUUAGGGUUGUAAAGCGCUUUCACCUGUGAUGAUGAUGACAGUAGCAGGAGAAGAAGCCCCGGCUAACUCCGUGCCAGCAGCC